rnacentral:piRNA from 1 species
UGCAAGUGCACUGACUUCCAUUGGCGUGU